rnacentral:rRNA from 1 species
CCUACGGGUGUCAGCAGUGGGGCAUAUUGGGCAAUGGGCGAAAGCCUGACCCAGCAACGCCGCGUGCAGGAAGAAGGCUCUCGGGUUGUAAACUUCCUUUGACAGGGAAGUGCCGAAUACGGUACCUGUCGAAUAAGCCACGGCUAACUACGUGCCAGCAGCCGCGGUAAUACGUAGGUGUCAAGCGCUGUCCGGAUUUACUGGGUGUACCGGGUGUGUAGCCGGGCUGACAAGUCAGAUGUGAAAUCCGGGGGCUCAACCCCCGAACUGCAGUUGACACUGUUGGUCUUGAGUAUCGGAGAGGCAGGCGGAAUUCCUAGUGUAGCGGUGAAAUGCGUAGAUAUUAGGAGGAACACCAGUGGCGAAGGCGGCCUGCUGGACGACAACUGACGGUGAGGCGCGAAAGCGUGGGGAGCAAACAGGAUUAGAUACCCCUGUAGUC